rnacentral:rRNA from 1 species
AGAGUUUGAUCCUGGCUCAGGACGAACGCUGGCGGCGCGCUUAACACAUGCAAGUCGAGCGAGAACCAGUCCUUCGGGACUGGGGACAGCGGCGAACGGGUGAGUAACACGUGAGUAAUCCACCCUCGGCACCGGGAUAGCCCGGGGAAACCCGGAUUAAUACCGGAUGGCCCAGCAGCUCUUCGGGCCGGCUGGAAAAGGUAGCUUCGGCCUCCGGUCAGGGACGAGCCCGCGGCGGAUUAGCUUGUUGGCGGGGUAAAAGCCCACCAAGGCGACGAUCCGUAGCUGGUCUGAGAGGACGAUCAGCCACACUGGGACUGAGACACGGCCCAGACUCCUACGGGAGGCAGCAGUGGGGAAUCUUGCGCAAUGGGCGAAAGCCUGACGCAGCGACGCCGCGUGAGGGAAGAAGGCCUUCGGGUUGUAAACCUCUUUCAGGAGGGACGAAGCCACUCGGGUUAAUAGCCCAGAGGGUGACGGUACCUCCAGAAGAAGCCCCGGCUAACUACGUGCCAGCAGCCGCGGUAAUAC